ensembl:misc_RNA 7SK 7SK RNA
UGGGAGGGAGAUCUGGCUGCAGCAUCUGUCACCCCAUUGAUCACCAGAGUUGAAUCAGCUGAUCUAGCUGGCUAGGCGGGAGUUCCCUUCUUCCCUCACAGGUCUAUAUGCUUCUCUCCAGAAGCUGCACACUUAGUCGAAGAGGACUACCUUCCCUGAAUAGAGGAGGACUAGUCCAAAUAAGCUCUCAAGGUCCAUUUAUUAUGUCUUGUUAUGCCAUGUUCGGCUGAUAUCCCCGGGAGGCCUGCUCAU